CAGCGAGGCUAAGCUAGUGGGGGAGAAGUUUCAGUGCAUUCCGUUGAUGUAGACGGCGUGAAAACGGAAACAAGAAGUAUGCCGGCUCACUGUGCUGCAUACAGUUACACACUACGUUGUACGAUUGAGACAAGGAAACUUGGAAUAACUUUUCAUAGGUUUCCCAGAGACUAUGGGUUGAGGAGGAAUUGGAAGUUUGUCGGCUUAGACCUGGUGUCAUUCCAUCAGUGUUUAACUUCCCGGCUCAUCUUGGAAGAGUACAUGCCAGAAAGACCAUGACCAAGCAGCCUUGAGAUCUUAGACAGCGUCUCCCUGAGGUCCCUCUCUAUCUCCCCACACAUCCACCAACCACUGGAACACAUCUCCAAAGUUCUGCUGGACCAGCUCAGCUUCCCCUCAGAAGAAGUGCUGCCACCUGCCAGAUGAAGGAGCCUUUUGAGAGGCAGCUGGCAUCGUGAUUGGACUGUACUUUGGUCUGUUCUAAUCCAGCUUCAGCUCCAGAGACGGCAGGUGGGACGAGUCAACGGAGGCUGGAUGGACGAAGACAUGCAGCUGAGUACAAUCCAGAAAACAACAGAGGAGGAGUGCAGCAGCCCAGAGCCAGAACAACCAGAGUAGCAUCGUAUGUCUCUUAGAAAACAUCAUAGUAUAGCCUUUGGUAUGAAAAAACGCCAUCAUAUACAUCGUAUAUUGUACAAAUAACAAGUCAAAGGAAAGAGACAUACAUUGUAGAAUUGUAGUAAUUGUGGGCUGACUGAUUUGCUGAUUAUCAGUAUUUUAUUUUUUACUGAUUUACAGUAAUAAAUACAUUUAAAAAUGGUGCUACUUUGGCUCUGAACCUUUAUCUACCUGUGGUCGCUCUGUCUUCUGGAGUGAUUUGAUUGGUUAUAUGUCACGAAUAAAACUCCUUUAACUUAA